rnacentral:rRNA from 1 species
UACGUAGGGGGCUAGCGUUGUCCGGAAUCAUUGGGCGUAAAGCGCGUGUAGGCGGCUCGGUAAGUCCGCUCUGAAAGUCCAGGGCUCAACCCUGGGAUGCGGGUGGAUACUGUCGGGCUCGAGUCCGGAAGAGGCGAGUGGAAUUCCCGGUGUAGCGGUGAAAUGCGCAGAUAUCGGGAGGAACACCAAUGGCGAAGGCAGCUCGCUGGGACGUGACUGACGCUGAGACGCGAAAGCGUGGGGAGCAAACAGGAUUAGAUACCCCCGUAGUCC